rnacentral:lncRNA from 1 species
AAAAAAAUAUAUUGCGAUAACUUCAUUAUAUAACAAAGACAUAGCUCCCCAUCACGAGACUGGAAAAACGAGGAGCUUGGACUUAGAGAGCCGCAUCCAAAAAGACCACCACAUUUUCUAUUAAUGUGCCAUGGAAUCAUUAACGUACAAGAACAAACGAUCAAACAACUCAUAUUGUUUGAGGAGAAUAAAAGAUAUUCAAUUUUUUAUAUUUGUUGAACGAGGUAAAGACGACGUCUCCGUAUUUCUACAAGGAGAGACGAAAUCAUACUUUGAUGAUGACAACGAAUAAAGAUACGAACUCUCCUAUUGUAGUUGAUCUGAUGAGAUCGCGACGAAGCAAACGUAUUGUUCGAAACUGAUGAAACCACCACCCCGAC